CAUUCACUGCCAGUGGUGUUGCAACAGACUUGCAAUCUUUGAGUCCAAAUUUGUCAAGUAAGGUCUUUGCAUACUUCUUCUGGUGGAGGAAGAUGCAAGAAUCAGUUUGUAGGACCCCAAGACCAAGGAAAUGAUGCAACAACCCUAGGUCAGUCAUCUCAUAUUGUCUCAUCAUAUCAUCUUUGAAUGCAGCCAUCAUUUCUUUUGAGCUUCCUGUGUAGAUAAUAUCAUCUACAUAUAGAGACACAAUGAGAAUACCAUUUGUAGACAUCUUAGUGUACAAAGUAGCUUCACUUGGACUUCUAUAAAAACCAGUCUUGAUGAAAUAAGAAUUUAUCUCAUCAUACCAAGCUCUUGGAGCUUGUUUCAAGCCAUAUAAAGCCUUUUUCAGCUUAUACACUUUAUCUUCACUUCCUUGCAUCACAAAACCAGAUGGUUGAUCUACAUAAACUUCUUCAUUUAGCACACCAUUAAGAAAUGCAGACUUUACAUCCAGUUGAAACAAAUUCCAGUUUCUCUGUGCAGCCACAGCCACCAAAGUUCUCACAGUAUCAGGGCGAGCCACUGGUGCAAAGGUCUCAUUGAAGUCAAUUCCAGGCUUUUGAGAAUAUCCCUUUGCCACCAGUCGAGCCUUAUUCUUCUGCACAGAUCCAUCUAGGUUCAGUUUAGUCUUAUAGAUCCAUUUGACUCCAAUGAUUGGUUUAUCAAAUGGUCUAUUCACAAGCUCCCAUGUAUUGUUCUUCUCAAUCAUGGUGAUUUCAGCUUCCAUUACUUUCUUCCAAGAGUCAUCCUUUGCUGCCUCUUCAAAACUUUCUG
rnacentral:lncRNA from 1 species